CUUCACCAUAAAUUCAAGGAGAAGAAAGCCAUUGUUGGCUUUAACAUUCGGCCAAGCGCUCAUUGCUCAAAUAGAUCAAGAAAAGAGGAGAUUAGAUUUGGAUCGGGGAAAAAUAAAAAAAUUUCGAAUAGUCGUCCGCUUCGUUCAUGUUCGUACGAGAGUUUUGGAGACUUGCUCGGGUUGGAAGUCAUAGGAGACCUCAUCACACUAUCCGGUUAUCGCUUCGGUGUUGUUCAAAGGUUUUAAGCGGAUAUUCCAGUGUGUGGAGACGACUUGUUAUUGGAUAUGUCGCGGUAAGUUUUUGAAUCGUCGUUGGUUUAGUUUCUCAAGUUUUAUGUUGGGGUAUUUGGUUGAUUGAUGAAUCAAGUGAUUAAUUAAGGGAUAUAUUGGUCAAAUAUAGGUUUUUGAAGGCUCGGGUUAAUUUGCACAGUGAAUCGGUACCAGGUGUGUACUCGAAACGCAGAUAAUAAGAUUUGGUGAAAAGCCGAAAUUGCUUGCUGUCGAGAAAUAAGAGAAGUAAGAGAAAAUGAUAUGAAAAAUUGUAGAGAAAGGAAAUAAGGGUGUUAUAAACUUGGAAAUCAACAUUCUGCACUAAAAUAGUUUUGGACAGCAGCAGUAGUCUAAUUUUAAAAAAUCAUAAAAAAUAGUGGAAAUUGAGUUAGAGGUUGAAUAAAAUAUGAAAUUUAAAUUUAUUGAGUCUAGUUUUAGAUGGAAGAAACAGUGUAGGCAAUGAAAUUGUAAGUUACGAGAUAUAAUGAAUUUUGUGAGCCAAUGUCAGAAUGGUUUUGGGUUCCCCUGUUCUGACUUUG